rnacentral:rRNA from 1 species
UACGGAGGAUGCAAGCGUUAUCCGGAAUGAUUGGGCGUAAAGCGUCCGCAGGUGGCUGUGUAAGUCUGCUGUUAAAGAGUGAGGCUCAACCUCAUAAAAGCAGUGGAAACUACACGGCUAGAGUGCGUUCGGGGCAGAGGGAAUUCCUGGUGUAGCGGUGAAAUGCGUAGAUAUCAGGAAGAACACCGGUGGCGAAAGCGCUCUGCUAGGCCGCAACUGACACUGAGGGACGAAAGCCAGGGGAGCAAACGGG